UUAAGUUCAGCGGGUGAUCCCACCCGAUUUGAGGUCAAAUUGUCAAAAUGUAGGGGGUUUAGCAUGUGCUUUCGCCAGACAACCUCGACAGAGCGAGCCCGAUGAAGUUUAACAAUCGGUUUAUCGUCACGACGGACACACGCUGAUGCAUUUCGGAUCAGUCACAAAAGCGACAGGAUCCAGGUCCAAUCACGCAACAU
rnacentral:misc_RNA from 1 species